GAUUUAUGGUAAUUAGGUCCACCUGAUUUACGGUUAGAACACUUGGAUUGUGGAACACGGUAAAAUAAAAUGUAAAAUAAUACGUUGUAAAAAUUUUAUUUUUUUAUUUACAACUGGAAACGGAGAAAAUGAAUGGUGGAAUUGGAGUCUUUUCUCCGCGUUGUGGACAAACUUGAAAAUCCUGGUGAUCUGGCUCGGAUGGAUCAAAAAUGAUGCGUUGUAGGGGGGUGCUGUCCUGUAAUUUUCCAAAUAUGCUGAAAUAGAAACACUCGAAGAAAAGCGAACACUAGACUUUUCGUAAUUGCGCAGGCGCGACCGGGCGUGUGUUUAAUCGUUCGUAAUAGUUUUUACACUGGUGCUUAUUCUAAUUAGUUAGGCUCUCCCAAGCGCAGCGGAGACUCUGUGGUGAAAAGCGGGAGAGCGUAAGACGGAGCGGAGAGCGGGUGACAGUCCAAGCCCCGUAACUUGGACAGCUUUGAUACUUCUAACUAUAAGCAAGAAAACCAAUUUAAUAUAAUGCAGGCUGAUAAUAAAGAACCAGGAAAAAUUAAAGACGAAUGUAUAAAAAAAA